AGCUGGUCUGAAGGUAGUGAGUUGUCUCAAUGAUUGUUCACAGUUACAGACUGAACUUCUUCUACUCUUUCCACUCUUCUCACUACUGCACUUGCCUAGUUUCAU
rnacentral:Y_RNA from 1 species